rnacentral:rRNA from 1 species
GAUGAACGCUAGCUACAGGCUUAACACAUGCAAGUCGAGGGGAAACGGCAUUGAGUGCUUGCACUCUUUGGACGUCGACCGGCGCACGGGUGAGUAACGCGUAUCCAACCUUCCCAUUACUGUGGGAUAACCUGCCGAAAGGCAGACUAAUACCGCAUAGUCUUCGAUGACGGCAUCAGAUUCGAAGUAAAGAUUUAUCGGUAAUGGAUGGGGAUGCGUCUGAUUAGCUUGUUGGCGGGGUAACGGCCCACCAAGGCAACGAUCAGUAGGGGUUCUGAGAGGAAGGUCCCCCACAUUGGAACUGAGACACGGUCCAAACUCCUACGGGAGGCAGCAGUGAGGAAUAUUGGUCAAUGGACGGAAGUCUGAACCAGCCAAGUAGCGUGCAGGAUGACGGCCCUAUGGGUUGUAAACUGCUUUUGUAUGGGGAUAAAGUUAGGGACGUGUCCCUAUUUGCAGGUACCAUACGAAUAAGGACCGGCUAAUUCCGUGCCAGCAGCCGCGGUAAUACGGAAGGUCCAGGCGUUAUCCGGAUUUAUUGGGUUUAAAGGGAGCGUAGGCUGGAGAUUAAGUGUGUUGUGAAAUGUAGACGCUCAACGUCUGAAUUGCAGCGCAUACUGGUUUCCUUGAGUACGCACAACGUUGGCGGAAUUCGUCGUGUAGCGGUGAAAUGCUUAGAUAUGACGAAGAACUCCGAUUGCGAAGGCAGCUGACGGGAGCGCAACUGACGCUUAAGCUCGAAGGUGCGGGUAUCAAACAGG